CUACGUGCCAGCAGCCGCGGUAAUACGUAGGGUGCGAGCGUUAAUCGGAAUUACUGGGCGUAAAGCGAGCGCAGACGGUUACUUAAGCAGGAUGUGAAAUCCCCGGGCUCAACCUGGGAACUGCGUUCUGAACUGGGUGACUAGAGUGUGUCAGAGGGAGGUAGAAUUCCACGUGUAGCAGUGAAAUGCGUAGAGAUGUGGAGGAAUACCGAUGGCGAAGGCAGCCUCCUGGGAUAACACUGACGUUCAUGCUCGAAAGCGUGGGUAGCAAACAGGAUUAGAUACCCUGGUAGUCCACGCCSUAAACGAUGAGUGCUAGGUGUUAGACCCUUUCCGGGGUUUAGUGCCGUAGCUAACGCAUUAAGCACUCCGCCUGGGGAGUACGACCGCAAGGUUGAAACUCAAAGGAAUUGACGGGGGCCCGCACAAGCGGUGGAGCAUGUGGUUUAAUUCGAAGCAACGCGAAGAACCUUACCAGGUCUUGACAUCCCUCUGACCGCUCUA
rnacentral:rRNA from 1 species